rnacentral:lncRNA from 1 species
UUUUUUUUUUGAAGAUUUUUUUCAUGGUUUUGCUGGGUUUUUUUGCUGGGCGAUUUGCAUUAGAGUCCCGACAUCAAUAUUAACUAGAGGUGCGUAUUUCCUAUGGACGAAUUGAGGCAAUUUGGUUCAAUAAUUAUUGUGACAACAGACGCCAUUUUGGCACGCUGUAUGAGCAGCCCGCAACCACCUGGAGAAAAUAGGGUCGCACGGUCAAUCGCGUUGAAAAAAUAAUAGGGUCGGCAGAAAAAAAUAGGGUCGGUCGGGAACCGGAACCACAGGUAUUUUUUUUUACGCCUGAGUUACAAAUGUUUGGAGUACAUGUACCCUGACCUGAACAUUCAUAACCCAUGCAUCCACUCGUUUACAU